ensembl:lncRNA
GCCAAACGUGACGCACCAAACGGAGCAAUUUCUCCUAAACAAAUAAUCUUUCAGGAAAAACUGAGCAUUUGCUAUCUAACUGAGAGUCUCCUCAUUGAAAGCAUCUGAAGUUCUUCAAAGGUAAUGAUUUUAUUUGAAUGAUUUUCUGGUUUUUGUGAAAAUGUUGCCUGCUGAUGCUAACGCUAAAUGCUACGCUAGCUGGGCUAGCUGUUACACAAAUGCUUGUUUUGCUAUGGUUGAGAAGCAUAUUUUGAAAAUCUAAGAUGACAGUGUUGUUAACAAAAGGCUAAGCUUGAGAGCUAGCAUAUUAAUUUCAUUUCAUUUGUGAUUUUCAUGAAUAGUUAACGUUGCGUUAUGGUAAUGAGCUUGAGGCUGUAUUCACGAUCCCGGAUCUGGGAUGGCUCGACGCAAGAAGUUAACUCGUGUUUAUUUUAUUGCCAUUCAAGGUAGAUAGCCAGCUAAAUGUAUAGCUAGGGUAUCCAGAUUACUUGCCUUACAUUCCCCAACACGACUAUCUCAUGACUUCUUUCACCCUCCAGGUAUUCAGACUGCCUCCGUUUACGGGCCGACUUCUUAAAUUAAAAAUGUUUUCAGAGAGUUUGGUCUCAUAAAGAAGCAGCAGUGUUUUUCACUGUGUACACCAGAAGUCACAUGCAGGAUAUUUAAAUAUGUGUAUUUAAAUAUGCGUGUGUGUAGUCGAGCAUGUGUGCAUGUGUGUGCUUCCAUGUGCGUGUGUAAUUGAAGACGGGGGGAGUUUCACUGAGCUGAAGUGUACUACUCCAGAGUACAUUACCAGUACCUCUCUUUGUGCUAGCUCAAUAUCUCCUUACAACAGAAAUUGAAUUACACCAGAAGAUUUGAUAACACUUGAUGGAAGCGAAAAUGCUGCUUGUCCAUUAAAGAGAUAUUAUCUUCUGCUCUCUUCCUCUCUCUCUCCCUUCUCUGUCUCUCAGAAAAUUCAUCAUGUGAUUUUUCGAUUUCAACAACCUUUUUGCCAAAUACAAAAAUCUAUUAUAAAAGCUGCUGUUGUCCAUUUAAAGAAUGACUGUGUUAAUAAUGAAGAUGAUGCUGUUAUUAAUGAUGUACACAUUCUCAGUACUACACAGGUAUGAUGUUGUUAUUAAUGAUGUACACAUUCUCAGUAAUACACAGGUAUGAUGUUGUUAUUAAGGAUGUACACAUUCUCAGUAAUACACAGGUAUGAUACUGUCAUUAAGGAUGUACACAUUCUCAGUAAUACACAGGUAUGAUGCUGUCAUUAAGGAUGUACACAUUCUCAGUAAUACACAGGUAUGAUGCUGUCAUUAAGGAUGUACACAUUCUCAGUAAUACACAGGUAUGAUGCUGUUAUUAAGGAUGUACACAUUCUCAGUACUACACAGGUAUGAUGCUGUCAUUAAGGAUGUACACAUUCUCAGUAAUACACAGGUAUGAUGCUGUCAUUAAGGAUGUACACAUUCUCAGUAAUACACAGGUAUGAUGUUGUUUUAUAUUUUAAUGUCUCAUCAGUUAUUUGUGAAGUGUAUUUAAGCAACUAAAGUAAAUGUAAUAAACACAUUUACUGGCUAAAGGAUGAACAAGUAAGGCAGGAUUGCAACGAAGACACGUUAUCACUGGAUGUCUUAAACUUGCUACUAAUAAGAGAUUACACGAAGCUGGUUACAAUGAAGAACCUGCGGAACCUUUAGACCAGCUCAUAUGAUGUCAUCACAUUCUUUCUUCAAUAAAGUACAAUAUGCCAGAACAGGUCUGCUGGCCUUGGAGUCCUGUAAGACUAUACAACGGCUCACUGUUCAGUGUUAUCAUGUUGUUCUAAAAAUAAAGAAAUCAUCUCUGCUAUCCACACACAACAUAGGACAUGUUACUCUUAAUUAACUACCAGCACGAUUUAAAAAAAAAAGUAAUUACAAUAUCAUUGUGCAACUUUAUAUAACUUACUUUGAAUACGAUAUAAUUUGAUUCCAAAUACAACACAAUGAUUUAGUUUCAUAUGUCAAAUGAGUAGACUAUCACAGCUAAAUAAUAUUUCCUUUUCCCUGCUUGAUAAGAAAUCGAUUCAGACAAUUCAAAUCAUUAAUGUAUUGCAUAAAUUGGAAACAAAAUAUAAUUUCUACUCCAUGACUUUUCCAGUCAGACAAUGUGUAGGGUAGACUACACUGUCAUAGUAGAUUUGCCACCGUAAACAAGGAAUUUAAUGCUAUAUUUCAGCUGUACGGAAUGAUUGAUAAAUACAUAAAUUGUACUUAGUCAUGUAAAAAAGACAGAUCAAAUUGUUAUGAUGAUAAUAACCACCAUAGAUCAAAACUUUCUUGAAGAAAGUCUGGUUACAAUGAGGACUACAAGAUAACCCGGACAUCCGAGUUAUCGAGCAGUAAAUAGGUGGCAGCUGAUGGUUGCAUCUGAGACGAUCAAUGCAGGUCAAUUUAGCGCUAUUGAUGGUUGCAUCUGAGACGAUCUAUGCAGGUCAAUUUAGCGAUAUUGAUGGUUGCAUCUGAGACGAUCUAUGCAGGUCAAUUUAGCGCUAUUGAUGGUAUGAGGAGAGAUCAGCUGUGCAGGUCAAUUUUGCUGUAUUGAUGGUUUAAGGAGAGAUCAGCUGGCGAUAAUCUAGUCGUCAAUUGUUGUUGUAACAGGCCCCAUUCAUAUUACAGAGAAGAGGAGCAUGCUGGGAAAACAGGAUGACAUGAACUGGCUCAAAUUACAAGCGGUUGUGUGGUGGCACUGGUUAAUUAGUUGACUGAUUGAAUGAAACAACACAAUUUGAAAAAUUAUUAAAUUGUGUGUGUGUGUGUGUGUUUGUGUGUGUGUAUAUGUGUUUGUGUGUGUGUGUGUGUGUGUGUGUGAAUGUGUAUGUGUGUGUAUGUGUUUGUUUGUGUGUAUGUGUGUGUGUGUACGUGUGUGUGUGUGUGUGUGUAAAUCAAAUAAAAUGUAAAAAUAUUGUAUUUUCACAUGCUGAGAAUACAACCUUACUCAGUCCUCCCUUUCCUGUAGCACACAAUCAUAUCCUUUGUCUUGAUCACAUUGACGGAGUUGUUAUCCUGGCACCACACGGCCAGGUCUCUGACCUCCUCCCAAGAGACGGUUUCAUCGUUGUCAGUGAUCAGCCACUGUUGGCCAUACAGUCAAGGGUGAACAGGGAGUACAGGAAGGGACUGAGCAUGCACCCCUGAGGGGCCCCCAUGUUGAGGAUCAGUGUGGCAGAUGUGUUGUUAUCUACACUCACCACCUGGGGGCAGCCCGUCAGGAAGUCCAGGAUCCAGUUGGAGAGGGAGGUGUUUAGUACCAGGGUCCAUAGCAUAGUGAUGGCCUUUGAGGGCACUAUGGUGUUGAACGCUGAGCUGUAGUCAAUGAAUAGCAUUCUCACGUCUGUGUUUCUUUU